rnacentral:lncRNA from 1 species
CUUCUGCUACCCCUUCUCCGGUCAAUUCGGGGAGAAGCGACGCCUUUCGGAGACCACAAAAUUCUCUCCGGGCUUUAUCACUUGAGCCCCCACCUUGUCAAUUCACUUUGACGAGGAUGAAAAACAACAACAUCCAACCUAUGCCACCCUCCAAAGAGAUAGGAUGCAAGCCGACCGCAGCUUCCAUGGCUCCGUCGAGCUCAGAUGAGGGAGAUAUCAUGACAAGAAUAUCACUUUUGGAG